rnacentral:rRNA from 1 species
UACGAAGGGGGCUAGCGUUGUUCGGAAUCACUGGGCGUAAAGCGCACGUAGGCGGAUCUUUAAGUCAGGGGGUGAAAUCCCCGAGGCUCAACCCUCGGAACUGCCUUUGAUACUGGGGAUCUCGAGUCCGGGAGAGGUGAGUGGAAUUCCCAGUGUAGCGGUGAAAUGCGUAGAUAUUGGGAGGAACACCAGUGGCGAAGGCGGCUCACUGGACCGGAACUGACGCUGAGGCGCGAAAGCGUGGGGAGCGAACAGG